rnacentral:rRNA from 1 species
UACGUAGGUGGCAAGCGUUGUCCGGAUUUACUGGGCGUAAAGAGCGCGCAGGCGGUCGUUCAAGUCGCGUGUGAAAGCCCCGGGCUCAACCUGGGAAUGGCGAUGGAUACUGGCGAGCUAGAGUACGGUAGAGGAGAGUGGAAUUCCCGGUGUAGCAGUGAAAUGCGUAGAGAUCGGGAGGAACAUCAGUUGCGAAGGCGGCUCUCUGGACCAGUACUGACGCUGAGGCACGAAAGCGUGGGGAGCAAACAGG